rnacentral:rRNA from 1 species
UACAUGCGAGUCGAACGCAUUGUGGUUGAAAUGAUAUGAAGAACUUGUUCAGAUUUGAUUUUCAACAUUGCAAUGAGUGGCGAACGGGUGAGUAACACGUGGGAAACCUACCUCUUAGCAGGGGAUAACAUUUGGAAACAAAUGCUAAUACCGUAUAAUAAUUAAAACCGCAUGGUUUUAGUUUAAAAGAUGGUCUUGCUAUCACUAAGAGAUGGUCCCGCGGUGUAUUAGUUAGUUGGUGAGGUAAUGGCUCACCAAGACAAUGAUACAUAGCCGAGUUGAGAGACUGACCGGCCACAAUGGGACUGAGACACGGCUCAUACUCCUACGGGAGGCAGCAGUAGGGAAUCUUCCACAAUGGACGAAAGUCUGAUGGAGCAACGCCGCGUGUGUGAUGAAGGGUUUCGGCUCGUAAAACACUGUUGUAAGAGAAGAAUGACAUUGAGAGUAACUGUUCAAUGUGUGACGGUAUCUUACCAGAAAGGAACGGCUAAAUACGUG